AACCUUAUGGACCUGCGGGCGUAUACCUGCGGAAGGAUCAUUACCGAGUGCGGGUCCUCGUGGCCCAACCUCCCACCCGUGACUAUUGUACCUUGUUGCUUCGGCGGGCCCGCCAGCCCUGCUGGCCGCCGGGGGGCGUCUCGCCCCCGGGCCCGUGCCCGCCGGAGACCCCAACAUGAACCCUGUUCUGAAAGCUUGCAGUCUGAGUGUGAUUCUUUGCAGUCAGUUAAAACUUUUAAC
rnacentral:misc_RNA from 1 species